UUUCAGAGCAGUUGGAAGCAGAGGACAGGACUGAUUUAGGGAUGUGGAUUGUGAAUGGCGCCGACUGUUAGAACCCGCUUUCAGCUGUGAGUCUAUCUAGUUCUAGAUGGUCCUCAGUUAGUUUUCAGGUCUAGUUUAAGAGAAAGAACCCUGUGCAGAAAUACUCUCCAUGUGAUCUAGGCCUGUUCUGACCGCAGUGGAUCUCUUCUAUGUUUUUUGAAUCCAUGUUGGACCGAGCCUCUCCAAGCUUUGGGCCAUCAGAAGAUGCUGAUGAGAUCUGCAGCGACCAAACCAGAGCAGCAGUAAACAGUGAGAGCAUGUUCAGAACUGUGGACGUCCAAAAUCAGAACUGCUUUGAGGAACCGGGACAUCCAGGAUGCUGAGGAGCCUCCCAGUCCCCACCUGAGGACGGCACAGAGACAAACACGUGCAGGAAAGAAGGUUCAAUAUGGAAGCAGCGUUCUAGCAGUCAGAUCUCCGUGGAACAGAGUCCAUCCACACGUGUUCGAAGG